rnacentral:lncRNA from 1 species
GGUGGAAUCUCAUUACAUUUUUGAUGUCAGUUGUAGGCUGGACGGAGAAUGAGGGCUGGUCGUAAAUGGCCCACGGGCCGGAAGUUUGAGACCCCUGCUUUAGACUCACAGUAUGUAGUGCAUCAAUGGUUAACCAGUAAAAACAGGUCCUUGUUUUUUUUUUUUUUUUUUUUUUUUUUUUUUUCUUUUUUAAAACGUUUUUUUUUUUUUUUUUUUUUUUUUUUUAAAAUCAAAAACUGAUUUUAUUCUAGUCGAAAUAAAACAUAUAAGACUUUCUCCAGAAUAUAUAUAUAUAUAUAUAUAUAUAUAUAUAUAUAUAUAUAUAUAUAUAUAUAUAUAUAUAUAUAUAUAUAUAUAUAUAAACCAUAUAAGGUUCGCCUAGAUCGUGUGUGCUGGAUUGUGUGUGCCUGAAACUUGUGUGGGUCUGCGGGUCAGUAGUUGAAUAUUGUUGGGCUUUUUUUUUCCAUAUACAAGCCCUGCUUGUUUAUAUUUAUUUAUUUAUUUAUUUAUUUUAUUUUUUUAGUAAAGAACUACAAGUUUUAAACACAUUUAUAAGGUAGCAGAUAGUGCUUAAAUAAAUUGGUUAAAAUAAAUUAAAAGAAAGAAACUGUUUAAUAUCAACAGAUUUUAUAUUAG